ensembl:misc_RNA predicted gene, 23385
GGAUGUGUAGGCAAUCUGGCUGCAACAUCUGUCACCUCAUUGAUCAUCAGAGUUAAUUCAUCUGAUGUGGCUGGUAGACAUGUGUCCCCUUCCUUCCUUAUUAUGUUCCAGGAACCAGGUAUGUUCCUCCUGAAGCUGUGUGCUGGGUCAAAGAGGGCUGCCUUCCAAAAUAGACUAGUCUUUUGUCAAAGGUAUAUAAGUAGUUGCACUUCCUUGGAAAAGACAAUAUUUCUGUCACUUCAGUAUUUUUUGGUUUCCAGUACUUCUUUGUGGAUGGUUGAAACAUACAUAGUAU